UUUUCUAAGACAGGGUCUCUCUAUGAAGUCCCGGCUGGCCUCGAACUUGAGACCUUCCUGCCUCUGCCUGCCAAGUGCUUUGGUUACUGAUGUGUGUUCCUAUGCCCAACCAGCAAACAGUUUUUAAUUUACAUUAUCUUAUUUUUAAAUUAUGUGUCUGUGUGGGGUGUGCGCGCGCGAGUACAGAUAGUCUCACAGGCCAGGAGAGGGUGUCAGAUGCCCUGGAGCUGGAGUGAUAGGCAGCUGUGAGCCACUCUGCAGGAACAGUGUGUGCUGUUCGCUGCUGAGCCAUCUCUCAAACACUUGUUGCAGGCCUGCACAUGUGUAGCCGCUCAUGGGGUGAACGUGGUGCGUGUGGGGGUCAGAGGACAACUUUUGGGGGUAAAUUCUUCCCGUCUGCCAUGGAGGGUUCCAAGUCAGGACAUCAGGCUUGGCGGGAUGAGUGGAAAACUCCUGAAGGCUGGGAUCGUGUCUGCCCAGCCUCGAGCACCCUACUCUGGGCCCCUGGUAAUUUCCACCAGACUGGAAGGAGAAACAGAUCCCGGCCUGGCAGUAACACACGUGUACUCUGUCUGCUCUGGGAAGGGCUGGAUUGUUCAGAGGUUUUUAAAAGAUUUGUCCUGGAAUGGGGGUGGGGGGUGGUGGAGGAAGCUGACCCCAAACCCAGGAGAAGAUGGUAUGGGUUAGAAGCCCAGGUAAGCUCGGAGGAUCUUCGGAUGUUCAGCUCCCGGUGCAUCUUGUCAUCCGACAUGAUGCUGGUAACUCCAUCGGCCCACCUCCCUCUCAGUCAGCUGGGCAGACUCAGGGUCUGGCUUACGAGGACUUCUAGAAAGCAUUGAUUAUUGCUAGCUCAUAAAAUGGCCCCUUGGAAGGGAUGUUUGAAUUUUUAAAUUACGUUUUGUUUAUCUCUGUGGUUCUUUCCUUCCCUAUAUGGGUCUGUGAGAUGGAACCCAGGUUGUGGAGUUUGACUGCAAAAAUGCCUCGAUUAGACGAGCCAUCUCCAGGGCUCCUGGAACAGGCUUGUAAACCAAGCUAAGGUUCAGGGCAGCCUGUCAAUCUGUCACUCGGUGACUUAGGCAGAAGGACAGACAGAAGGGUGGGCUGCAUGAGGCCCUGUCUCAGAACCAAAGGAUCUUGGACCAGUGAGAGGGUUCAGCGGGUGAAGGCAUUUGCCGCACAAGCCUGUUCAUCUGAGUUCAGUUCCCAGGUCCCACAUAAAGGAGGAAAGAGAAGAUGUCUCAAGUUUCCCCUCUGACCUCCAUGUGCCCAUCAUAGUACAACAAGAGCCAGGCAUAAUGGUGUCCACCUUUAGUCCCAGCACUCUUGGAGGCAGAGGCAGGAGGAUCUCUGAGUUUGGGGCCAGCCUGGUCUACACUGCUAAUUCCAAGACAUCCCGGGCCACACAUGGAAACCCUGUUUUGAAAACCAAUAAAUAAACAACGUAAGCAAAUAAAAAAUUUAAGUAACA